UACGUAGGUGGCGAGCGUUGUCCGGAUUUACUGGGUGUAAAGGGCGUGUAGGCGGCGAAACAAGUCAGAUGUGAAAGCCCGGGGCUUAACUCCGGAACUGCAUUUGAAACUGUUUUUCUUGAGUGCUGGAGAGGAGGGUGGAAUUCCCGGUGUAGCGGUGAAAUGCGUAGAUAUUGGGAGGAACAUCAGUGGCGAAGGCGGCCCUCUGGUCCGUUACUGACACUCAAGUGCGACAGCGUGGGGAGCAAACAGG
rnacentral:rRNA from 1 species